AGAGUUUGAUCAUGGCUCAGAUUGAACGCUGGCGGCAUGCCUAACACAUGCAAGUCGAACGGGUUGUAGCAAUACAACUAGUGGCGGACGGGUGAGGAAUACAUAGGAAUUUGCCUUUAGGUGGGGGAUAGUCCGGGGAAACUCGGUUUAAUACCGCAUGAUGUCGCAAGACCAAAGCAGGGGAUCGUAAGACCUUGCGCCUUUAGAGAAGCCUAUGUCGGAUUAGCUAGUUGGUAGGGUAAUGGCCUACCAAGGCGACGAUCCGUAACUGGUCUGAGAGGACGAUCAGUCACACCGGAACUGAGACACGGUCCGGACUCCUACGGGAGGCAGCAGUGGGGAAUAUUGGACAAUGGGCGAAAGCCUGAUCCAGCAAUGCCGCGUGUGUGAAGAAGGCCUUCGGGUUGUAAAGCACUUUAGGCUGGGAAGAAAAAGCUUCACCUAAUACGUGAAGCCUUGACGGUACCAGCGGAAUAAGCACCGGCUAACUCUGUGCCAGCAGCCGCGGUAAU
rnacentral:rRNA from 1 species